rnacentral:rRNA from 1 species
UCAGUCGACUCCUACGGGGAGGCAGCAGUGGGGGAAUAGUUGCACAAUGGGCGCAAGCCUGAUGCAGCCAUGCCGCGUGUGUGAAGAAGGCCUUCGGGUUGUAAAGCACUUUCAGUCGUGAGGAAGGUAGUGUAGUUAAUAGCUGCAUUAUUUGACGUUAGCGACAGAAGAAGCACCGGCUAACUCCGUGCCAGCAGCCGCGGUAAUACGGAGGGUGCGAGCGUUAAUCGGAAUUACUGGGCGUAAAGCGCAUGCAGGUGGUUUGUUAAGUCAGAUGUGAAAGCCCGGGGCUCAACCUCGGAAUUGCAUUUGAAACUGGCAGACUAGAGUACUGUAGAGGGGGGUAGGAAUUUCAGGUGUAGCGGUGAAAUGCGUAGAGAUCUGAAGGAAUACCGGUGGCGAAGGCGGCCCCCUGGACAGAUACUGACACUCAGAUGCGAAAGCGUGGGGAGCAAACAGGAUUAGAUACCCUGGUAG